AAGCAUAGCUCAGCUGGGAGAGCAUCUGCCUUACAAGCAGAGGGUCAUAGGUUCGAGCCCUAUUGUUUCC
rnacentral:tRNA from 3 species